rnacentral:rRNA from 1 species
UACGGGGGGAGCAAGCGUUGUUCGGAUUUACUGGGCGUAAAGGGCGCGUAGGCGGCCACCGCAAGUCGACUGUGAAAUCUCUGGGCUUAACCCAGAACGGUCAGCCGAUACUGCGGGGCUAGAGUGCAGAAGGGGCAACUGGAAUUCUCGGUGUAGCGGUGAAAUGCGUAGAUAUCGAGAGGAACGCCUGCGGCGAAGGCGGGUUGCUGGGCUGACACUGACGCUGAGGCACGAAAGCGUGGGGAGCAAACAGG